CAGAGAUCAACAAGACAGCUGCUGCCCUCCUGAGGCUUAUAAGAAGAGGAGCAUCUCAUACAUCCAUGGCUGGACAUGCAAUUUCUUUGGAAUAGGAUGGAGGUACAGUGGAAUUGAAGAUGAUGAGGGUAGAGAUCUGAGAUGAUCAAGGACCCCGGACAGGACACAGGAAUGGGAAGCAGCACUGAGAUGCUACUAAGGUGACACCAUGUGUUACCACCUUGGCUGUAGCUUCUCUCCCAUGGGUGACAUUCAGUCCCUGGUACUGGACUGGCUGGAUCUGAAGGAAAGCACUGGGAAAGGGAGCUGUCGAGUGAGUGAGACUGUGCUUGAAGAACGGGACUGCACAUGAUGUUGGUGAUUGCUUUGGAUUUGCUGAAUCAAUGAAUAAAUGGGAGGUGUUAUAGUGCAAUGGUUAAAGUGAAACACCUUCGGUCCAAAAUGCGGCUCUACUGCUUACUGCUACUCAUAGUAUCUGCCUUGUAGGGUUGUGGAGAUGGCUGGCUGAGAUGAUGCAUAUAAACCACAUCGUCCAGGGCCUGGCAUGGAGAAGAGUUAACAGUAGUUCUUACCAUCCUCACAGACCAUGGCAGAUAGGAGCUGACUGAUGGAGGAUUCUAACCAGGAAGGGGCCAGUGUAGAGCCUGCAAAGAGAAUACCUCAUGGACAGCUGAUAAGUGAGUGAGUGUGUUGGGGAAGACUGCAGAGGCACCUCUGAGAAGACCUGCACCGGAGCUGGAGGCUGCACCCCCAUGUCCCUGGCUCCACCCUUCCUCCAAGCCUCAGCUUCCGUGCUGUGCUUGCCCAUCCGCUGGUGCUCUUCUGAGCUGCCCUGAGCACACAGCCUGCUGGGAACUCCUACACCUGCUUGCUGGCUUGGCCACGGCUCCUGGGAUCUGGGAGACAAAGCCUUUUUGUAACCUGUUUGGAGAUAUCAGUGCCACUGUCCAGUGAGUCAGGGACCCAAAUGGCCACAAAUGAUGAAGAGGAGAGUUCUCAGAUGGAAGAAGACGAUGUAUUUCAACCACUUAAAGUCCUGCCACUUGAAGCCGGCGAGGACAAAGAGAGAAUCGCGCUCGUACUGCUCAGGCCGCUGCAUGGCGCCCUCGGGAGGCUCUGAGGAUCCUGGUCAUGGUCUAUGUGUAAUAUCAAAGCAAACAUGGUCCCUGGAUAAGCCUGCACCAAGAACCUCUUCUUCUGUGUCACGACUGAGCUUAUAAAAUUUCUGGAAAGUUUCUCUCAGAGUCAAGCUUGGACAGGAUUUUAUCUGCUUUCCAAUAUGUACUAGAUGUCAUAUGCUAAUAAAAUAUGCCUAAGAUCUAGCCAAAU
rnacentral:lncRNA from 1 species